rnacentral:piRNA from 1 species
UGCCAUCAGUGUUAUGUAUAAUUUCAGUA